CACAGCCUAUAACAACAACAACAUGCUCAGAUGAAUAACACUCACCCAUACCUAUAAACGUUAUGCAAACGUAUGCAACAUUUAGUACAUCCAUGUUUUUGAUUGCUUCAUCAAACACCACCAUUAUACUUACAGAGUGCUCUGGUGCAGGUGGUUGGAAGUCUGUGUCUGUAUCGGUUUGCAUUGCUUCAUCAAACACCACCAUUAUACUUACAGAGUGCUCUGGUGCAGGUGGUUGGAAGUCUGUGUCUGUAUCGGUUUGCAUUGCUUCAUCAAACACCACCAUUAUACUUACAGAGUGCUCUGGUGCAGGUGGUUGGAAGUCUGUGUCUGUAUCGGUUUGCAUUGCUUCAUCAAACACCACCAUUAUACUUACAGAGUGCUCUGGUGCAGGUGGUUGGAAGUCUGUGUCUGUAUCGGUUUGCAUUGCUUCAUCAAACACCACCAUUAUACUUACAGAGUGCUCUGGUGCAGGUGGUUGGAAGUCUGUGUCUGUAUCGGGUUGCAUUGCUUCAUCAAACACCACCAUUAUACUUACAGAGUGCUCUGGUGCAGGUGGUUGGAAGUCUGUGUCUGUAUCGGUUUGCAUUGCUUCAUCAAACACCACCAUUAUACUUACAG